CCCUUUYCGGGGCUUAGUGCCGCAGCUAACGCMUUAAGCACUCCGCCUGGGGAGUACGRCCGCAAGGUUGAAACUCAAAGAGAAUUGACGGGGGCCCGCACAAGCGGUGGAGCAUGUGGUUUAAUUUGAAGCAACGCGAAGAACCUUACCAGGUCUUGACAUCCUUCUGACCGGCCUAGAGAUAGGCUUUUUCUUCGGAGCAGAAGUGACAGGUGGUGCAUGGUUGUUGUCAGCUCGUGUUGUGAGAUGUUGGGUUAAGUCCCGCAACGAGCGCAACCCCUAUUGUUAGUUGCCAUCCUUUAGUUGGGCAAUUUAACGGGGCUGCCGGUAAUAAACCGGAGGAAGGGGGGGAAGGCGUCAAAUCCUCCUGCCCCUUAUGGCCUGGGCUACCCCCGUGCUUCCAAGGGUGGUACAACGAGUCGCAAGCCGGGGACGGCAAGGUAAUUUUUUAAAGCCAAUUUCAGUUCGGAUUGUAGGCUGCAACUUGCCUACCUGAAGUCGGAAUCGCUAGUAAUCGCGGAUCAGCCCGCCGCGGGGAAUACGUUCCCGGGCCUUGUACCCCCCCCCCGUCCCCCCCCGAGAGUUUGUAACCCCCGAAGUCGGUGAGGUAACCU
rnacentral:rRNA from 1 species